AAUGGUAUAACUGGGUCAAAUGGUUGAUCCAUUCUUAGUUUUUUGAGGAAUUUCCAUACUGCUUUCCAGAGUGGUUAUACCAAUUUGCAGUUCUACCAGAAAC
rnacentral:pre_miRNA from 1 species